rnacentral:rRNA from 1 species
UACGUAGGGUGCAAGCGUUAAUCGGAAUUACUGGGCGUAAAGCGUGCGCAGGCGGUUCGUUGUGUCGGCGGUGAAAGCCCCGGGCUUAACCUGGGAAUGGCCGUUGAAACUGGCGAACUGGAGUGUGGCAGAGGGGGGUGGAAUUCCGCGUGUAGCAGUGAAAUGCGUAGAGAUGUGGAGGAACACCGAUGGCGAAGGCAGCCCCCUGGGUCAAGAUUGACGCUCAUGCACGAAAGCGUGGGGAGCAAACAGG